rnacentral:rRNA from 1 species
UAGUUAGCCGGUGCUUCUUCUGCAGGUACCGUCACUUUCGCUUCUUCCCUACUGAAAGAGGUUUACAACCAAGGCCGUCAUCCCUCACGCGGCGUCGCUGCAUCAGGCUUGCGCCCAUUGUGCAAUAUUCCCC